CAGCUGCGCGUCCGCAGCGGCACUUUCGGCGCUGUGCCUGUGGCGAAGGCGCCAAGCGGCGCCGGCGGCAGCGGGGAUGGCGCGGCCGGCCAGGAGGAACAAGAAAGUUGUUGAUUAUUCUCAGUUUGGGGAUUUGGAAGAUGAUGAUGAAGACUUUGCACCUUCAAGAAAAAAAUCCAGAACACAGCUCAAGGAAUCAAAGAAGGAGAAAAAAGAUAAGUCAAAAAAGCCCAAAGAAGUGACUCCAUCACAGACACAGACACUUAGUAAGAGGUUAUCCUUGGAUGAGAAACUUUAUAAAAGAGAUUUGGAAGUUGCCUUAGCCUUAUCUGUCAAAGAAAAAUCUGCAGAUCCCCAAGAAGUGCAAAAUUCAGAAGAACAAGGUAAGAAUACUGAAUCAGAAAAUACACAGAGGAGACCCCCUUUUUCCAACUGCAGUGUAGACAGUGAACUUUUAGGUCUCAAUCAGGUUAUGGAUGAUGAUGAUGCACCUGAGGGUGAUGGGAGGCAAAGGACAGCAGCAACCAAAGUUCCAGCACAUCACAAGUUACUGAUGGUUGACAGUGAUGACAGAGCCCAUGAUCCCGAUUCUGAGCCAGAGUCUUUACCCACAUCACCUAUAGUUUCUCCUUCUUGGAUAAUGGAGCACAACUCUGAGCCAAGGCAGAAGGUGAUGUCCAGUCCCUUGGAAGCAGCUGGGAGACCUCUACAUGCAUCAAGUCCUGUCACAGACAAAAAGCCUAAAUGGACACCGCCAGCUCCAUCAGGAAGCAGUAAUGCCUCUGUGAAAUGUGUUCCUGUUAAGUCACCUACUCACUGCCUAAGACUUGGCCUCUCCAGACUGGCAAGAGUCAAACCUCUCCAUCCCAGUGCUACCAGCACUUAAAUGGUCAGUGACAAAGUGCCACACAGAGGAAAAGAAUGUGGAAAGGGUUUUGCUGAUAAACAGAGGGUGGGCAGAAUCCUGGAAUCAUCCAUUUUGGAGGAUUCUUAUUACAGAUGUGUCUGAUGUUAGGAUGAGUUUUUAUUCUGCAAAUUGCUAGGCAUCUUUUAAGUGCCACUGAAUACUAAUGUUGUUUAAUCAAAGUGACAUCUGGCCACCAGCUUUUUGAUGUAUUAUAUUCAGAGAUGUUGGUUUGUGAUAAUUUUAAUUCUUUAAUACCUAAAGUCUUGGCAUUAACAUUAGUCUAGAGAGCACUAAGGCAGUAUGAUGAUAGGGAAAUGUUUUUUUAGAAUGUUGUAUUUUUUUAAAAAAACUAAAAUAAAAUACUUUAUAAUGUCUAACUGUAUUCCUUGAAUGUAUUAAUUUUGAAGGUCACUUUAAAUGUUGGUUGCAGUCUGGCAGAUAUUUUUGCCUGUGUAUGGUCUUACUGGAAGUGAGCAGCAUUAGUCAGGCUCAGACAAUGAGGAAUUUUCUUGGAGCUGAUGGGGCUUCAUUGAGGAUCAUGAUACCAUGCUCAGGAUUCAUUGAGCUGAAGACUCUAAAGAGUUAUAAUCAGGCAGUUCUUUCAGAAAUACCUUGUGAACCCCAUCCCAGCAUAAAGGUUAGUAGAUAGGUGCAUAUUUUUUAGAAUGUUAGAAGUCUGUAACUAUGUAGGAAGUCAACAUUAGAGGGCAUAAUAACAUCAAGUUACCAUGCCAGUGCAGUGGAGCUAUGUGGCUAUCGCUUGUAUUUGCAGUGUUUGCAUGUCAGAGGUCAGGUGACAAGUGUGAGCAAAAUAUCAAGAACAGAAAACCAAACAGGAUUUUAAUAAGCCUUAACCAUCUUAACUUUUGUCAAGUGUUAUCAACAGCACAGCCUCAUUCUAAUACAUUUUCACAGAUCAGUGACUUAUAAUGUUAGUAGGUAUUUCUUGCAUUAUUUAAUUCAGUUAUAAUAUUUAAUAUACAGUUCUUCUCCAGAUGUUUGCUAUAAUUUUUCUCAAGCGAGAGUUAAGCAUAAGUUUUACCCUCCAUGGGUAAAAGUCAUGUUGAUGCAAUUUGUGAGUGGGGUUCACAGCUGCUUCUGAGUGUCUGUCACGAUUUCAUAAGGAACAGAGUUGCCUGUAAGUCAAAAAUGUAAGAAUGGGCAAAUCUUACUCAGCCCUGCAAGGUGCAUCUGGAGUGCUGUGUCCAGUCCUGGGCUCCUCAGCACAGGAGGGACAGGGAGCUCCUGGACUGG